rnacentral:rRNA from 1 species
GGCCUUCUGGGUUGUAAACUGCUUUUGUCAGGGGAUAAAAAGCUCGUGCGCGAGAAAUUGAAUGUACCUGGCGAAUAAGCCACGGCUAACUACGUGCCAGCAGCCGCGGUAAUACGUAGGUGGCAAGCGUUGUCCGGAUUUAUUGGGUUUAAAGGGUGCGUAGGCGGUCCUGUAAGUCAGUGGUGAAAUACGGCAGCUCAACUGUCGAGGUGCCAUUGAUACUGCGGGACUUGAGUGUUGAUGAGGUAGGCGGAAUUGACGGUGUAGCGGGUGAAAUGCUUAGAUAUCGUCAAGAACACCGAUAGCGAAGGCAGCUUACCAAGCAACAACUGACGCUGAGGCACGAAAGUGUGGGGAUCAAACAGGAUUAGAUACCCUGGUAGUCC